rnacentral:rRNA from 1 species
UACAGAGGGUGCUAGCGUUGUUCGGAAUCAUUGGGCGUAAAGGGCGUGUAGGCGGUUUGUUAAGUCAUGUGUGAAAUCCCUCGGCUCAACCGGGGAACGACGCAUGAAACUGGCAAGCUAGAGUACCAAAGAGGGGGGUGGAAUUCCCGGUGUAGCGGUGAAAUGCGUAGAUAUCGAGAGGAACACCUGCGGCGAAGGCGGGUUGCUGGGCUGAUACUGACGCUGAGGCGCGAAAGCUAGGGGAGCGAACGGG